UUGACGGGGGCCCGCACAAGCGGUGGAGCAUGUGGUUUAAUUCGAUGCAACGCGAAGAACCUUACCUACUCUUGACAUCCAGAGAAUUUGCUAGAGAUAGCUUAGUGCCUUCGGGAACUCUGAGACAGGUGCUGCAUGGCUGUCGUCAGCUCGUGUUGUGAAAUGUUGGGUUAAGUCCCGCAACGAGCGCAACCCUUAUCCUUUGUUGCCAGCACGUAAUGUUGGGAACUCAAAGGAGACUGCCGGUGAUAAACCGGAGGAAGGUGGGGAUGACGUCAAGUCAUCAUGGCCCUUACGAGUAGGGCUACACACGUGCUACAAUGGCGUAUACAAAGAGAAGCGACCUCGCGAGAGCAAGCGGACCUCAUAAAGUACGUCGUAGUCCGGAUUGGAGUCUGCAACUCGACUCCAUGAAGUCGGAAUCGCUAGUAAUCGUAGAUCAGAAUGCUACGUGAAUACGUUCCCGGGCCUUGUACACACCGCCCGUCACACCAUGGGAGUGGGUUGCAAAGAAGUAGGUAGCUUACCUUCGGGAGGGCGCUUACACUUUGUGAUCAUGACUGGGUGAGUCGUA
rnacentral:rRNA from 1 species